rnacentral:rRNA from 1 species
AACGAACGCUGGCGGCAGGCUUAACACAUGCAAGUCGAGCGCCCCGCAAGGGGAGCGGCAGACGGGUGAGUAACGCGUGGGAAUCUACCCAUCUCUACGGAAUAACGCAUGGAAACGUGUGCUAAUACCGUAUACGUCCUUCGGGAGCAAGAUUUAUCGGAGAUGGAUGAGCCCUCGUUGGAUUAGCUAGUUGGUGGGGUAAAGGCCUACCAAGGCGACGAUCCAUAGCUGGUCUGAGAGGAUGAUCAGCCACACUGGGACUGAGACACGGCACAGACUCCUACGGGAGGCAGCAGUGGGAAUAUUGGACAAUGGGCGCAAGCCUGAUCCAGCCAUGCCGCGUGAGUGAUGAAGGCCCUAGGGUUGUAAAGCUCUUUCACCGGUGAAGAUAAUGACGGUAACCGGAGAAGAAGCCCCGGCUAACUUCGUGCCAGCAGCCGCCGUAAUAC